rnacentral:lncRNA from 1 species
CUAAUGAGGGCAUGCAAUGAAAUGAAUUAACUCUUUCUUCUCCCCAAUUAUCAUUCUUCUUCCUCUCUGAUCUUCUAUCCCCUCUCCUCUAUUUUCUAUUUCCAACCUAUUCCCAAUUUGAUCUAUCUCUCUCACUCUCUCUUCUCUUCUCUUAGUUUCUCCUUUCUCACUUAAUUACCUCAAAUUUCCAGUCCGAGCCUCACCAUCAUCCCCGCCGCCAUCCACGCCUCAGCAAAUUCUCAUCAUCGGCGGGUUGCGACA